CCUACGGGUGGCAGCAGUGGGGAAUAUUGCACAAUGGGGGAAACCCUGAUGCAGCGACGCCGCGUGAGAGAUGAAGUAUUUAGGGAUGUAAAGCUCUAUCAGCAGGGAAGAAAAUGACGGUACCUGACUAAGAAGCCCCGGCUCACGACGUGCCAGCAGCCGCGGUAACACGCAGGGGGCAAGCGUUAUCCGGCUUUACUGGGUGUAAAGGGAGCGUAGACGGCGGUGCAAGUCAGAUGUGAAAGCCCGGGGCUCAACCCCGGGACUGCAUUUGGAACUGUGCUGCUAGAGUGUCGGAGAGGCAGGCGGAAUUCCUAGUGUAGCGGUGAAAUGCUUAGAUAUUAGGAGGAACACCAGUGGCGAAGGCGGCCUGCUGGACGAUGACUGACGUUGAGGCUCGAAAGCGUGGGUAGCAAACAGGAUUAGAUACCCCAGUAGUC
rnacentral:rRNA from 1 species